UUCGCCCUGAUGUGGGGUUUGCAUGAGAGGCCCCUGUGCAGAAAUGGCUGCUAGACUGUUUUUUUAAUUGUUAUUUGAGGACAGUUAGCCGCCAGGAACCCUUUUUAAUAGGUGUCUUUCUUUCUGUCGGGGUUCAUACGCCUGGUUUACCCCUGCACCUGACAGGAGCUCCCGGCGCUGAGUUACGGAGGUUCCGAGGCGGCCUUGAUCGGCCCAGUCUGCCUCGGAUGCGGGAGGCGGGGCUCCACGUGCAGGUAACUGAUCCAGGGUCCUCCCCACAGCAACUGUAAAGCGGUGUCAGCAGCACGACCUGAUCGAGUCUCCCCAAAGCCAUCGGCUCCAUUUCCCAAAGAACCAGCUCGUUCUCUUUCCAGCGAGACCGCGAGGUGUGCACCGACUAAGCGCAUCACUAGAGUAACUUAGCGCAGUAAUCACAGCAGGUUUGGGGCAAACACACCACUUUUGGUCGCAUGCAAGUCGCCGGGGACGCGGCCGUGACGGGGCAGCUGUGGUCAGGAGCCUCUGCCGCCGGGGCUGCACUGAGGGUGUGAUGCUCGCUGACCAUCCCGGCGGUGGACAGACCGACCAAUGUGGGCAGCGGUCAGAACACUGUGGGCAUCUUCGCAGGCAAAACAGCACAUUUUGUGCCCUGACCGGUUUGG